rnacentral:rRNA from 1 species
GGAUCCAGACUUUGAUCAUGGCUCAGGACGAACGCUGGCGGCGCGCCUAACACAUGCAAGUCGAGCGGGAAGCUUUUUAAGGAUUCUUCGGAUGAAUUAAAAAGUGGAGAGCGGCGGACGGGUGAGUAACGCGUGAGAAACCUGCCCUAUACAGGGGGAUAGCCAUUGGAAACGAUGAUUAAUACCCCAUAUGACCACAGUAUCGCAUGAUACAGCGGUGAAAACCCCGGUGGUAUAGGAUGGUCUCGCGUCUGAUUAGCUAGUUGGUGGGGUAACGGCCUACCAAGGCGACGAUCAGUAGCCGGCCUGAGAGGGUGGCCGGCCACACUGGAACUGAGACACGGUCCAGACUCCUACGGGAGGCAGCAGUGGGGAAUAUUGCACAAUGGGCGAAAGCCUGAUGCAGCGACGCCGCGUGAACGAUGAAGGCUUUCGAGUCGUAAAGUUCUGUUCUUGGGGAAGAUAACGACGGUACCCAAGGAGAAAGCACCGGCUAAAUACGUGCCAGCAGCCGCGG